GUCGUCGAUCGCUUGGAGCAAAGACCAAUGACGGUGGAUCACAUUCAUGGUGAACCAGGGGACGCUACCAGAAAGGACCCCCAUCACUAUAGCUGCCCAGCCUUGGACCACUCCUGAGAAAGGCAUGAACAUAUAAGUAUACCGAGAGAAGUUUUUACAAGGGAAUAUGCGAAAAGCUCUUUAUCUUAUGCUGCAGUAUACCGAGAGAAGUUUUUACGAGGGAAUAUGCGAAAAGCUAAGUUCAUGAAGAAUAUCAUAUCUCUGAAAAGAUAUCAGAAAACAGUCUCACCACAAGCUGUUGGGAUAUUUUCAUGCAGGUUGAAUUAAAGAAACAUGGAUUCAGGAUCAGAUCCAAUGUCAACAGCAUGUGUUAUGUGUGGUGGAAACUGGAAAUUCUAAACCAUGGGCUUGGCAUUUUGUUCUUAAAACUGUGUGGAAAGUCAAAUUGCACAGCUGGAAUUGAGAGAUCUGCUUCCAACUACAGCUGAAAUCAAGCCUACAGUUGCUGAAACACAGCGAAUCGGGUCGUUACAAUUCUAAUAAAAAAAAAAUUUUAAAAAAAAAAGAAAAAAAAAAGGAAGGUUUACCGGCGCCGGGGGUGAUGCAGACGAGGCCGGUGAUCAUGCCCUGGAUGGCGCCGAUCACCGACGGCUUCCCGAAGACGAUGACGUCGAGCACGGUCCACAUGAGGAGGCUGGUGGCCGCGCAGACGUGCGUGUUGAGCACCGCCAUCGACGAGUCGAUGUUGGCCGAGUACGGGUCCCCGCCGUUGAACCCCGUCCACCCCAUCCACAGCAGCCCCGCCCCCGCCAGCAGCAGCAGCACGUUGUUCGGCGGGAACCGCUCCCUAUCCGCCUGCGACCUCGGCCCCACCUAUGCAGCAGGAGUAGCAAACGUGUUGAGUCAAAAGAUCUUAUAUAUACGUCCUUUUCUACUUGAGAAGCAGAAGUUAAAAAAAAAAAAAAAAAGGGAUACGCACCCAGUAGGCGGCGGUGAUUCCGGCAAUGCCGGAUGAGACGUGGAUAACGUACCCGCCCGAGUAGUCGAUCACCCCCCAUUGGAACAGAAACCCCCCGCCCCAGAUCGAGAAAGCGCCGAUCGUGUAAGAGAAGGUGAUCCACAGCGGCACGAACGCCAUCCAGGCCAAGAAGCUCAUCCGGCCGAGGAGCGAGCCCGCGAGGAGAAUGACGGUGAUCGCGGCGAAGACGCACUGGAAGUAGACCAUGGAGGCGGCCGGGUAGAAGGGCGCGACCAUCGGCGUCUCCACCGCCUGCCCGCCGCGGUAGUAGUGGGUGGAGGCCGGGAGCGUCGACUGCGCGAUCAGGAACUUCUGGUCCAGGGCCGGCCGCGCCUUCCCCCAGAAGGGGAGGAGCUUGUCGCCGAAGGACAUGUUGUAGGCCCAGGUGACCCAGCAGAGCCAAACCGCGGCGAAUGCGUAGAGGGCCAUGAAGGCGGAGUUUAUGGCCCACUUCUUCUUCACGAUGCUCCCGUAGAGGAUCACGAGGCCCGGCAUCGACUGCAGGCCGACGAGCGUCGCCGACGUCAUCUGCCAUGCGUUGUCGCCCUUGUUCAGCCACUCCGGCGACGACGACGAGUUCUGGUACGCCGCCGCCACCGCGCUCGCCAUCUCUACGACCUAGCUAGUUUACGUGAUUUAUACCUAAGGGAAUGAAUGAAUGAUUGAAUGAAUGAAUGAAUGAAUGAAGAGCAAAUGAUGCUCUUCUUUUUUA